rnacentral:misc_RNA from 1 species
UCCCGGUUAACCCGGGCAGUCUCAUUAGAGUUCCCACCAUUACGUGUUGGCAACUAAUGAUAAGGGUUGCGCUCGUUGCGGGACUUAACCCAACACCUCACGGCACGAGCUGACGACAGCCAUGCAGCACCUGUGCAGAGGCCCCGAAGGGCUAUAACAUCUCUGCUAUAUUCCUCUGCAUGUCAAGCCUGGGUAAGGUUCUUCGCGUUGCAUCGAAUUAAACCACAUGCUCCACUGCUUGUGCGGGUCCCCGUCAAUUCUUUUGAGUUUCAGCCUUGCGACUGUACUCCCCAGGCGGUAUACUUAACGCGUUCGCUACGGCACAACCGGGGUUGAGUCCGAUUACACCAAGUAUACAUCGUUUAAGGCUAGGACUAC